CCGAACUACAACAAGAGAUGUUUGUUGAAGUGAACCCGAAAGAUGCCAACGAUU
rnacentral:sRNA from 1 species